ACUGGGAGUCUCAUGAAAGUUUUUUGCUUGGAUUUAUGGAUGGAACCGCGAUUGUCUUCAAAAAAGAUCCGAGUCUUGGCUCGUUUCCUUUGGCUGUUGUCCUUGUGGUUGGAUGCUUUUGCUUAGGGUAUCAGGUGAGAGGUAUCAGGUGUAAGGAGAGAGACUUUUUCCAAAUGAGGCUAUGUAACUGAGAACCUCUGCUUCUAUUCUUUUCUGCUCUAGGCAAAAGGAUUAGAAUCUUUGAUGCUGUGAGUUUUGAAAGGAACCCGGACACUCCAGAAUCUGCAUUUGGCAGCCAAUUUAACAUCCCUGCCCAGAGGAGUAAGGAGUGACCUUCAGGAGAACUGAACUGGGGACAUUUUAGCUACUCUUUCCCUUUGCGGGGCACUAGGCUGGUUGAGUUGGCUUCAGAUGCUCUACCAGCUUUCCUGAGCUUGCCCAACCUAUGCUGGAAAGAGAUCAGGGCAGAAGAAGCUGAUUAUACAAUCUCUUGAGGGGACAGAGAAUCUGAAGAAUCAGGAGGUGCUGCAGAGUGACCCCUUAGGGCUGUGGACUCAAUUGCUGCUUUAAUAAAAUCUACUUUAUUUCAUA